CAGUCGCGCGGUAAUACGGAGGGGGCUAGCGUUGUUCGGAAUUACUGGGCGUAAAGCGCACGUAGGCGGCUUGGUAAGUUAGAGGUGAAAGCCCGGAGCUCAACUCCGGAAUUGCCUUUAAGACUGCCGAGCUAGUAGGUGAGAGAGGUAAGUGGAGUUCCGAGUGUAGAGGUGAAAUUCGUAGAUAUUCGGAAGAACACCAGUGGCGAAGGCGGCUUACUGGCUCAUUCUAGACGCUGAGGCGCGAAAGCGUGGGGAGCAAACAGGAUUAGAUACCCGAGUAGUCCCUGUCUCUUAUACC
rnacentral:rRNA from 1 species